rnacentral:rRNA from 1 species
ACGAACGCUGGCGGCGUGCUUAACACAUGCAAGUCGAACGGGCCCGCUCUCUUUUUUGGGGGUGGGUUGAGUGGCGAACGGGCGAGUAUCACGUGAGUAACCUGCCCCCUGCUCCUGGAUAACUGCUUGAAAGGGCGGCUAAUACGGGGUGUGCCGGCUGGUCCGCAUGGGCCUGGUCGGGAUAGUUUCAUCUUCGGGUGUUUCGGUGGGGGAUGGGCUCGCGGCCUAUCAGCUUGUUGGUGGGGUGAUGGCCCACCAAGGCGGUGACGGGUAGCCGGCCUGAGAGGGUGGGCGGCCACACUGGGACUGAGACACGGCCCAGACUCCUGCGGGAGGCAGCAGUGGGGGGUAUUGCGCAAUGGGCGGAAGCCUGAUGCAGCGACGUCGCGUGAGGGAUGGAGGCCUUCGGGUUGUGAACCUCUUUCUCCGGUGGUGAAGGCCCUGUCCGUUGCGGCGGGGUUGACGGUAGCCGGGGAUGAAGCGCCGGCUAACUACGUG